CGAACGCUGGCGGCGUGCUUAACACAUGCAAGUCGAACGGAAAGGCCCUGCUUUUGUGGGGUGCUCGAGUGGCGAACGGGUGAGUAACACGUGAGUAACCUGCCCUUGACUUUGGGAUAACUUCAGGAAACUGGGGCUAAUACCGGAUAGGAGCUCCUGCUGCAUGGUGGGGGUUGGAAAGUUUCGGCGGUUGGGGAUGGACUCGCGGCUUAUCAGCUUGUUGGUGGGGUAGUGGCUUACCAAGGCUUUGACGGGUAGCCGGCCUGAGAGGGUGACCGGCCACAUUGGGACUGCGAUACGGCCCAGACUCCUACGGGAGGCAGCAGUGGGGAAUAUUGCACAAUGGGCGGAAGCCUGAUGCAGCAACGCCGCGUGCGGGAUGACGGCCUUCGGGUUGUAAACCGCUUUCGCCUGUGACGAAGCGUGAGUGACGGUAAUGGGUAAAGAAGCACCGGCUAACUACGUG
rnacentral:rRNA from 1 species